AAUUGCAGAUUUCAUUUAAUUUAAUGACAUCAUAGUUCAAAAUCAGCCUGUAGAUCCUGCUUGACUCGCCACCAGCCAUCUUGGAGGAAGCCAGCUGUGUCGGAAGAAAGACCUCCUUGUGACUGGUGGAGCAGACUGCCCGAUCGCCCGAUCAGACACAGCCAGAGAGGCUAGCUUCAGGCUGAGCUCUUCCGUUUCCGUGGCAACACAGGGGGAGGUUAACUCCGGGUCGCUGUCGGUGACCGUGAAGCCCCUUCCUUGAGUGAGGAGACGAUGGAAGAGGGG